rnacentral:lncRNA from 1 species
GGACCCCAGGAAGACCUCCAAGCUGGACGCUCCCUUUCCCUACGCAAGCUGCUGGUCCCAGCCGGCACCACCGUCUCACCCAGUGAUCUACAGACACUCGAGGCCAGGGGCCGCGCCGCCGGAGGAGAUGAGUCACUCUGGCGUGGCCUCGGGCGCCGACCCCUGCCCCGCCCCCGUCGCCCAAGCUGCGGACCUCACGGCGCGAGACGCCCGGUCUCGGGCGGACCGAGGCGCCGGUCCGGGGGGCAGGCCAGCGCUCGCCCCGCCCGGUGCCCCGAGCUUCGGGGCCUGCGCCCGCCCGGGAGCAAUGGCGACGACGCCCAGGCUACCUCGCUGAUCCGGCCCCCAAGCAAUUCCCUCACGGGGUGCCGGGUUCCCGCGGGCUGCGGCGGCUUUAGCGCCGAUAUAGGCGUCCCCGCUCCCUCGCCCGUCCGCCCGCCCGCCCGCCCGCCCGCCCGGCGAUCCCGUCAGCUCCGGCCGCAGCCAUUUUGGAGCAAGCGGAGACAAAGAGCCAGUCAUUGCUGCCGCCCCCACCAGGCCCCGGCCGCGGUCCCCGCCCGUCUUGUCCUCCGGGUCGUCGGCCUCUGGCCCGUCUGGCAACCUGGACCCCAACAACCCCGCCAGCCCAAGGACGCCCGGGCCCUUAGCCCACUAGCCCGCGACCCCCGGCCGCCCGCCCGCGCCCCGGCUUCUGCCGCUCGCAGCCAUUGGCCGCGCCUUUUAAGCGCACGGCGCGGCCAAUCGCGGGACGCCGGGCAGCCGGGCGGGGGGGUGCCACGGCCAAUGGUGAGGCGCCGAGCGGCGGGCGGGGGCGGGCACGCCGCCGCGCCUGCGCACCGCGUUGCCACCGCCCUCCCCCCGCCCGGCCGCCCGCGCCCCCCGCCCGGCCGCCGCCCCCGCCCCGCCCGGCGCGCGCCGCCCCCCGCCCGCCCCCGCGGCCGCCCGCCCGCCCGCCCGCCCGCCCGCGCGGAGCCUCCUCCCCGCCCAGCGCCGGCCGAGCGGCGGCGG